CCGGGUAUGAACUCAUGGGAAAGGAAUGGUUUCUUUACGGACAAAAUGUAAUUCUUAGAUAUAGCAUGCAUGUCCUAGUUUUACUAGUGAACAUUGCAAAUGGUGCUAUAAAACAAUGACUUGGAAUUAGAAUAAUCGGAUAGUAAGAUAAUCACUGACAAUGUUGGGAGUACAAGUGUACCGAGAGCAAUUUGUGUAAAAAAAUCAACAUUAUUUAAAUCAAUCGUCAUGAGUAAUUACAUUCCGACUGUAAUACAAUUAUUUGACCAUCAACGUGGCUACUGGGAUAUAUUUAUACUACAAAAA
rnacentral:lncRNA from 1 species